rnacentral:rRNA from 1 species
GACGAACGCUGGCGGCGUGCUUAACACAUGCAAGUCGAACGCGCCUGUCCUCUGGGUUUCUGGGGGGUGGGUGAUUGGCGAACGGGUGAGUAACACGUGAGUAACCUGCCCCCUUCUUCGGGAUAACGGUCUGAAAGGGCUGCUAAUACCGGGUAUUCACUGGUCUCCGCAUGGGGUCUGGUGGAAAGGUUUUUUUCUGGUGGGGGAUGGGCUCGCGGCCUAUCAGCUUGUUGGUGGGGUGAUGGCCCACCAAGGCUUUGACGGGUAGCCGGCCUGAGAGGGUGACCGGUCACAUUGGGACUGAGAUACGGCCCAGACUCCUACGGGAGGCAGCAGUGGGGAAUAUUGCACAAUGGGCGCAAGCCUGAUGCAGCGACGCCGCGUGAGGGAUGGAGGCCUUCGGGUUGUGAACCUCUUUCGCCCGUGGUCAAGCCGCGACGUGGGUCGUGGUGAGGGUAGUGGGUAAAGAAGCGCCGGCUAACUACGUG